GAUUACAGGCAUGCACCACCAUACUCGGUCUAUGAUCAACUUUUGAUUCACCUUGAUGUAUAGUAUGAGGUAUGGAUGAAUGUACAUGGUACAUAACCCCUCAACGUACCAAGAGUUAAGUCCCAAUAAACUCAUCAUAAGCUGAAAGCAUCUGAAGUCAAUGAUGCAUUCAAUGCACAUAUCAAACCUCAUGGCUUAGCCCAGCCUGCCUAAAGCAAUCUCUGAACACUAACAUUAGCCUAUUAGUUGGGCACAAUGGUCCAACACAAUGCCUAUUUUAUAAAAAGUAUUAAAUAUUCCAUGCAAUUUACUUAAUACUGAAAGUGAAAAACAGAGCAGCCCUAUGGAUGUGCUCUGGCACGAUUGUAGCAUUGACAAACCAUAAGUCAAACCAGUGCUCACUGGGGACCAUCUGUAUUUGGGUCUGUCCUAGAUGCUAUGGCUUUUGUUUUGCAUGUUGAUAGCCAAUUGUUCCAGCACCAUUUGUUGAAAAUACUAUUAUCUUUUCUCUAGUUGCUCUGGUCUGAACAAAUCCAUGUGUGAAAAUUCUAACCCCCAGCAUGAGAGUAUUAAGAAGUGAAGCCUUUGUGGGGGCAACUAGGCCCUGGGGGUAGAUGGAAUUAGUGUCCUAAAACAGGCCCAAGGAAGCUUGUCUACCCCCUUCUCCAUAUGAGGACACAGCAAGGAAGUGCCAUCUCUUUGCACCAGGGAACAGGUCCUUACCAGACAAUGAAUCUUCCAGGACGGUGAUCUUAGACUUCUAGACUUCUCUAAUAUUACAAGAAACACACUUCUGCCAUUUAUAAGCCACCCAGUCUAGGGAAUUUUUGUUGUAGCAUCUCAUGCAAACUAAGACACGGGUCCACUCUCUUUUUUGUACCUUUGUCAAAUGACAUGAAUUUCUGAUCAACACGCAGAGCUGUCUAUGAAGGCCUUCCUUGACAGCUGCUGCUCAAUUUGAGACCACAUACACUCUUUGACUCAGCCAUUCCGAUUUGACAGUUCAGAAAUAAAGAAACACAGGCACAAGCAUAUGAGGGUAUGCACAAAUUCUUAUAACACACAGUUAUAAGUUUACAGGGGAAAGGUAAAAGAGCAAGGGACUGAACUUAAACACCCCCUCACAGGGAAAUGAAGGCCUGAGUUGCAGCCGGACUCUACCACAAACUUCUCCACAGGCUCCAAGAGCAACAGGCUGGAGCUGCAUGGAUUGAUCAUAAAAGGCUCCCAGGAAAUGCUGUGAAGUGGGGACGGGGG
rnacentral:lncRNA from 1 species